UACAGAGGAGCCAAGCGUUGUCCGGAUUGACUGGGCGUAAAGCGCACGCAGGCGGUGGUGCGCGUGGGGUGUGAAAUCUGGCCGCUUAACGGCCAGGCGCCAUCCCAUACGGCACGACUGGAGGGCUGCAGAGGUCGAUGGAAUUGCCGGUGUAGUGGUGAAAUGCGUUGAUAUCAUCAGGAACACCGGUGGCGAAGGCGGCUUUCUGGGUCUUACCUGACGCUGAGGAACGAAAGCCAGGGGAGCGAACGGG
rnacentral:rRNA from 1 species